CUUCGGUUUUUGUAGCAAGCCUUGCGGCCAUCCAGCUCCUGGCUCCUGGCUCCUGGCUUCUGGCUCCCAGGUGCAGGCUUGGCAUCUAUCAUUGUAUUAGCUGCAGAAUUAGUUGGUUAGUUAGUCGAACACUCGGCGUCCUUUGUUCCGACGACUUUGCCUAAUCAACUUGGCAGUCCAUGCUCUUGUGGUUUACCCGGACACUUAAUUAGUUCACAAAGAGUCCAACUCGAUUUGACACUAAUUUGGUGUAUAUUCUGCUGAGCUGUUGAGCUGUUGAAUGUGUCAUUCGAUGAAAAUUGCUUGCAAGCCAGAUGUGGGACCAUAGAAUAAAUCUUUGGACCCACAAAGUCGCCAUAAAUUUCCAUUUGAUCUGAUAUCUUUUCCAAUUGUACGCUGAAAUUGCACUGGCACUAAAAUUUAUCUGAGUUGGCAAAUUAAAUUUUGUACAAUUUGUAAAACUUUCCCAAAUGGUGUCGCCAACUGCCGCGAACUGAGAGCCAGCCAGCAAACUUUCUGAAUUUCCAUUACAAGUUUUACUUGAUUCGGUGCACCAUCCUGCCUGGCACACACACACCCAAACACCCAUUCGCCAAUGCGACCUCAAUCCAGGCUUAUGCGUUUAUUUAAUUUCGCUUGAACAUUACGCAUACGCCAGGGUGUUCAGUGAGCUUUUCUAAUUGCCGCGUAAUUGUCGGGAAGAACGAGUGUCAACUGAGACCGAGCAGCCCAGGAAGUGGCAGUUUGUGAGGCCAAUUAAGGGUUAACUGACAUUCAGGAUAGCUCUCGGCCCUUAACCAUCACUACUUUAGAUCAUGCACCAGACUACGAAGGUCCUUUCAAAUUCCUUCCCUGAGAGGAUGCUGAGAAUCUGAAGAAUCUUGGACCACUUUAAGUGCCUGAUCACCUGGCCUCCUACUCGUUUUUUGCUUUACAAAUUGAGCUUUCGCCAUUAUCUCCAUAAAUUUCUUUGCAUUUACCCAGUAAUAUUUCACACAAAUACUAACCCGAAAAUUACAUAUAUUUGUUGUUUGUAUGACCUUAUUUGUAUAACAAAGAAUGGCUCCCCCUGUUUGAUUUAAAUGUACUCAAAAAUUUGACCGGUGUGGUUCUAUGGUUGUGCUUACUGAAUGUAUGUAUAUGGUGU